rnacentral:lncRNA from 1 species
GGAGGUGCCGGGGCGGUAGGCUGCCAGUCCGAGGACUGGAAGCAAGCUUCUUGGAGCGGAGAAGGCAACCGGCUACUUCCACCCGCGCAGCCAGUGAAGCCGCUGCUGCGUUCAGCACCUGGAGGGAAGAGAUCAUUGCGCUUAUUUUCCUGCCCAUCCCAGUUUCUGGAUGUGACAUCUAUAAUUUCAGCUGCUGUAGUAUGGCCAUAGGAAAGCCAUGAAAGAAGAUAUAACAUUGACAAUGAAAGGUGGAGCAAAACUCUUCACUUGAAGACACAGUUGAGUCGUUUAGUUAUCUGUCUUUGAUCUCUUUGGGUUUCAUAGUUUGAUAUGGAAAGCUUACAGUUCAGUUUACUUUGAAUCAGAUUCUUUGCUAUCUGUAGCUCAAAUUUUUCCAGCUGACGCAGACUUCACUACAAGUGUGCAUAACCCUGGAAGUUCCCCCGAAGUUCGUUUCUGAUCACAAAAGAAGCAUCUACCUACGACCAGAGGAAACACAGAGGUUGCAGGGCUGGGGAGAGAGAAGUGGGCCUGAAUGUCAAAACUAUAGAAAAGGAAUAGAGAGCCACCAGCAUGAAAACAUCCCAGAGCAGACAAGAAGACACAGUUCUUUGGAGGCCAGUCUACACAAACCAAUCUGAAACCUCUGCCAGCUUCAUCUAUAUCAGCUUCAGGUAUGGACGACCCCUACCAGGCUUCAUCUGUACCAGCAAACAAAGUGAAAUGAAGCACUUGUUAGUCUCCCUCCACACUUUCCUCAAACAUAACAAAUUACUUCUGCCUAGAAUAAAAUAUAUACCUUG